UGGCUACACUGGGCAAAGGGAUGUCUCUUAUCUUGGAUGGGAACAGGACAGUGACUAAGGAGUUGUGGGUUCAUCUAAACUCAUUUGGCUGAUAGAAGAACAGUGGAGGUCCUGCACACAGCAAGCACCAGGCUCAGAGGCAAGGGGACUGCGGAGUUUUCAGGAACUAUGAAGAAGCUUUGGAGAGAAGAGAAAUGACAGGAGGAAUGUUUCAAGCUAGAAGAAGCUGCUACAUAACAGCAAAGACUCAGCAUGGGUGGAUGGACAAAGAAAAAACUGGUUCAUCUUGAGAGUUAGACAGUUUCAAUUGGGAUAAUGAUGAAGUUUCUUUUGCCUUAAUCCUUUUGAACAAUGAGACAACAACGAUGACGACGAUGACACCACCACCACCACCAACAACAACAACUCUAUGUGGGGCCAGAGAGCUAUGGGACUGAGAGGAGCAGCCGUGGAGCAAGAGUGGGGUGGAGGCAAUUCAAACCCCUGAAAUCUCAUCCUGAGAUCUGUAGAAGUAGGAAUACUGCCGCCUCUGCCCCAGGCCUGUAUGUACCUGUGCACGCAGUCCAGUGCCCCCCACCCUUACCUUACCAGAGGAGGUCAAGUAGCCAGUGGCCAAUUUAAACUUCCUUUCCCCUUAUAAGUCAUGUGCAGCAGCACCUGGAAUUCCUCCUUAUGCAAAUGAGGCAUCCCCAGCCAAUGAGGUACACUCACCCUGAUAGCCCGCCCCUCAAAGCUUUUUUCCUCCUUCCACAAUAAACUGAAUCAGUCUCUGAAGCUAA
rnacentral:lncRNA from 1 species